rnacentral:rRNA from 1 species
UACGUAGGGCGCAAGCGUUAUCCGGAAUUAUUGGGCGUAAAGAGCUCGUAGGCGGUUUGUCGCGUCUGCCGGUGAAAGUCCGGGGCUCAACUCCGGAUCUGCGGUGGGUACAGGCAGACUAGAGUGAUGUAGGGGAGACUGGAAUUCCUGGUGUAGCGGUGAAAUGCGUAGAUAUCCGGAGGAACACCAAGGCGAAGGCAGUGUCCUGGGGAAGUACCUGACGCUCAGGUGCGAAAGCUAGGGGAGCGAACAGG